CUGUGAAAGCUUGGGCCAAACCCAAGCCAUUUGAGCUCCUUGAGCCUGGCACACAGCUCCGCAGGCCGGCACAGGCACAGUCUGCAACUGGGAGCAAGGACGAGCAGCACGAGGCUGUUUUUAGCACGCCCUUGGCUCUGCUCACAGCUGAAGUGUGCUCAGUAACCCGUCCUGCUAAACAGGCUGCCAGCCGCUGUUUGAUUUGUGAUAGAGGCAAGGCAACGCGCGCAGUGAGUGUACACAGCGAGAUGCAGUUUAUAUUUGGAGGACAUUUGCCAUGGGUUGGUCUGAGGGUACGGACCCAACAGAAGAGUUGCCAAGUGAUAAGAUCAGAAGUGCUUUUACAAUCAUUUAUGUGCUGUGGUGAACGUGAGGUAUUUACUCCACUUUCCUUCCACAGGGCUUACAGAAAUCUCUCCUAAAGCAGAGGACGAGAACAGCUCAGCUCCUUCACACCCUCGCAGGGCAAGGAGGCUGCGUGGGAUUGCUCAGGAUCAAAGAGCAGAGAAUUCAAAGCGCCCCGUAUGGUACAGCAUCUGGUUCUCCUUACUCGAUGUCAGACAAGCGAUCAAAGAUGCAGAAGGAGUGCUUGCACUAACGCCGUCUCUUGAAAUAGCUUUGCCUGGUGAUCUGUAG